CAAUAGCGUAUAUUUAAGUUGUUGCAGUUAAAAAGCUCGCAGUUGGAUUUCGGUUAAGAGCGACCGGUCCGCCGUUUGGUGUGCACUGGUUGGUUUUAACUUCCUGUAGAGGACGUGCUCUGGGUUUAACGACCUGGACUCGGAGUCUACGUGGUUACUUUGAAAAAAUUAGAGUGUUCAAAGCGGGCUUACGCUUGAAUAUUUCAGCAUGGAAUAACACUAUAGGACUCCUGUCCUAUUUCGUUGGUCUCGGGACGGGAGUAAUGAUUAAGAGGAACAGUUGGGGGCAUUCGUAUUUCAUUGUCAGAGGUGAAAUUCUUGGAUUUAUGAAAGACGAACUUCUGCGAAAGCAUUUGCCAAGGAUGUUUUCAUUAA
rnacentral:rRNA from 1 species